UGGCUCAGUAAGUGGAGCGUGGGACUCUUGAUCUCAGAUUGUGGGUUCAAGUCCCAU
rnacentral:tRNA from 1 species